rnacentral:rRNA from 1 species
AGAGUUUGAUAGAGGAAAGCAGAAUUUCUAGUGUAGAGGUGAAAUUCGUAGAUAUUAGAAAGAAUACCAAUUGCGAAGGCAGCUUUCUGGAUCAUUACUGACACUGAGGAACGAAAGCAUGGGUAGCGAAGAGGAUUAGAUACCCUCGUAGUCCAUGCCGUAAACGAUGUGUGUUAGACGUUGGAAAUUUAUUUUCAGUGUCGCAGCGAAAGCGAUAAACACACCGCCUGGGGAGUACGACCGCAAGGUUAAAACUCAAAUGAAUUGACGGGGACCCGCACAAGUAGUGGAGCAUGUGGUUUAAUUCGAAGAUACGCGCAGAACCUUACCAACACUUGACAUGUUCGUCGCGACUUUAAGAGAUUAAAGUUUUCGGUUCGGCCGGACGAAACACAGGUGCUGCAUGGCUGUCGUCAGCUCGUGUCGUGAGAUGUUGGGUUAAGUCCCGCAACGAGCGCAACCCUCACUUUUAGUUGCCAUCAUUAAGUUGGGCACUCUGAAAGAACUGCCAGUGAUAAGCUGGAGGAAGGUGGGGAUGACGUCAAGUCCUCAUGGCCCUUACGUGUUGGGCUACACACGUGCUACAAUGGUAUCUACAACAGGAAGCAAGACGGCGACGUUAAGCAAAUCCUUAAAAGAUACCUCAGUUCGGAUUGCACUCUGCAACUCGAGUGCAUGAAGCUGGAAUUACUAGUAAUCGUGGAUCAGCGUGCCACGGUGAAUGCGUUCCCGCGCCUUGCACACACCGCCCG